rfam:Shewanella oneidensis MR-1, complete genome.
CCCUCUGGCUGAGUUAGUGAUCGGCUGGAGAUUAUCAUUUUAUAUUUGGAGAGACACAUGUCACUAAGUACUGAAGCGAAAGCAAAAAUCCUGGCUGAAUUUGGCCGUGGCGCA